UUGAACGCUGGCGGAAUGCUUUACACAUGCAAGUCGAGCGGCAGCGCGGGGGCAACCCUGGCGGCGAGCGGCGAACGGGUGAGUAAUACAUCGGAACGUACCCAGUUGUGGGGGAUAGCCCGGCGAAAGCCGGAUUAAUACCGCAUAAGUCCUGAGGGAGAAAGCGGGGGACCGUAAGGCCUCGCGCGAUUGGAGCGGCCGAUGUUCGAUUAGCUAGUUGGUGGGGUAAAGGCCUACCAAGGCGACGAUCGAUAGCUGGUCUGAGAGGACGACCAGCCACACUGGAACUGAGACACGGUCCAGACUCCUACGGGAGGCAGCAGUGGGGAAUUUUGGACAAUGGGCGCAAGCCUGAUCCAGCAAUGCCGCGUGCAGGAUGAAGGCCUUCGGGUUGUAAACUGCUUUUGUACGGAACGAAAAGACUCCUUCUAAUAAAGGGGGUUCAUGACGGUACCGUAAGAAUAAGCACCGGCUAACUACGU
rnacentral:rRNA from 1 species